AGCAUGGUCUUAGCUUGCUAAGACUGAUGGCGACCGGCGCACGGGUGAGUAACACGUAUCCAACCUGCCGUCUACUCUUGGACAGCCUUCUGAAAGGAAGAUUAAUACAAGAUGGCAUCAUGAGUCCGCAUGUUCACAUGAUUAAAGGUAUUCCGGUAGACGAUGGGGAUGCGUUCCAUUAGAUAGUAGGCGGGGUAACGGCCCACCUAGUCUUCGAUGGAUAGGGGUUCUGAGAGGAAGGUCCCCCACAUUGGAACUGAGACACGGUCCAAACUCCUACGGGAGGCAGCAGUGAGGAAUAUUGGUCAAUGGGCGAGAGCCUGAACCAGCCAAGUAGCGUGAAGGAUGACUGCCCUAUGGGUUGUAAACUUCUUUUAUAAAGGAAUAAAGUCGGGUAUGUAUACCCGUUUGCAUGUACUUUAUGAAUAAGGAUCGGCUAACUCCGUGCCAGCAGCCGCGGUAAUACGGAGGAUCCGAGCGUUAUCCGGAUUUAUUGGGUUUAAAGGGAGCGUAGAUGGAUGUUUAAGUCAGUUGUGAAAGUUUGCGGCUCAACCGUAAAAUUGCAGUUGAUACUGGAUAUCUUGAGUGCAGUUGAGGCAGGCGGAAUUCGUGGUGUAGCGGCGAAAUGCUUAGAUAUCAUGAAGAACUCCGAU
rnacentral:rRNA from 1 species